GGUGGUCUAGUGGUUAGAGCGUCCGCCUCGAAAACGGGAGGUCGUGGGUUCGAUGUCGAGUCAUACCAAAGACU